rnacentral:rRNA from 1 species
GAUGAACGCUGGCGGCGUGCUUAACACAUGCAAGUCGAACGGAAAGGCCGAAGCUUGCUUCGGUACUCGAGUGGCGAACGGGUGAGUAACACGUGGGUGAUCUGCCCUUUACUUCGGGAUAAGCUUGGGAAACUGGGUCUAAUACCGGAUAUGACAAUCUCUUGGAUGGGGUUGUGGAAAGCUUUUGCGGUAUGGGAUGAGCUCGCGGCCUAUCAGCUUGUUGGUGGGGUAAUGGCCUACCAAGGCGUCGACGGGUAGCCGGCCUGAGAGGGUGUACGGCCACAUUGGGACUGAGAUACGGCCCAGACUCCUACGGGAGGCAGCAGUGGGGAAUAUUGCACAAUGGGCGCAAGCCUGAUGCAGCGACGCCGCGUGGGGGAUGACGGCCUUCGGGUUGUAAACUCCUUUCGCAACCGACGAAGCUUUUGUGACGGUAGGUUGAGAAGAAGCACCGGCUAACUACGUG